ensembl:lncRNA
AUGGAUUUUUUGAUGGCAGAGCCAACUUAUAAACUUCUUAUCUUUUUAUGCAUGAUACGAGGAAUGUACGGAGUGCUUAUACAUUAUGAUGUGAACGUAAAUGCUGUGGAGGGACAGAACGUCAGCCUGCAGUGCAUUGUGGGAGAGGAGCAUGAAGUCACAAUUAUCCAGCUGGAAUGGAUUAAACAGCAAAAAGAAAAUGAGAAGAUCGAUCAGAAGAUUGUUGUGUUCCAUCCUGGGUACCCAACAUAUUAUAUUAAAUCCGGUUCUCUUCUGGAGACAGUGACCAGUUCAAAAACUGGGAAGCUGCAGGGCUCAAUCCUGACCCUGUAUAAAGUUGCAGUGAAUGAUGGUGGAAACUAUAUUUGCGAAAUUACAUCUUAUCCUAAUGGCUCAAUUAAAAGAACCACAAAGCUCCAAGUCACAGAGCCUCCAGCAUCAGUGAAGAUGUCAUAUCCAUAUGGAUUCAUAAAAGAAGGAGACGACGUGAAAAUAACUUGUUCAGCUAGCCCUCCACCACUCCGUUAUAAACUUGCAAGGUCAAAGGACCAGAUAUUUUGGCUGGGAAGCUCAAACGGAGAGAUCAUUAUAUCAAACAUCACCAGAAACGACAGCGAUGUGUACAUCUGUUUACCUGAAUGGGACUCAUUAGUACAAAAUCAGCAAGGUCUCAAUGCCACCAUGGAACUGACUGUGAAUUUUCUUGAUGGCAUUGAGUGUAACACAAGCAGCCCUUUAAACGUCAGUGUUGGUGAGGAUGUGAUGAUUUCUUGUAUCGCAAAAGCAUCACAGUACUUGCAGUAUAAGUGGAUGAGGGGUGACACAACACUGUCUCUGUCAGACACUUUGUCUCUGACCUCCGUAACAUCUGACCAGUCGGGAACAUACAAUCUGACAGCUGUCUUUCUGAACAAUCAACUCCAGACAGACAUGCAGUUUUCUAUCCAUGUUCUCUCAAUGCAAAGCCAAGGAAUGACAACUUCUUGCCCAGUAAGUACCACCCAACAUCUGAGCAGCUUUACCUCCAAUGGGACCAGCGAAUGGAGCACUGAUACCACUGUGUCUACAACAGAAUCUGGUCACUUCCUAGCUAGCACAAUAAAACCAAAUGCCACUAAGACAAGCCUACAACCCAGACACACCAGUCAUCCUCCUCCUCUCACUGGCAGCUCUUCUGCUCCACCUGUUGGCAAUGCAUCUACAUUACAUGCAAGCACUGUAAAAUCUCCAGAUUCCUCUACAGACAGUUUGAGCACAACUCCAGAUCCAGCUACCAGAAGAGAAAGAGUCUCCAAUGUUAUAACAAAGAAAACCUUUCCCCCUGUUACAGCACAAAAAGCCUCAAAAAGCUCAAUAUAUAUCGCCGUCCCGAUUGUGUUGUUGAUACUCGUGUUGAUUGUGCUUCUACACAGAAUAUACCAGAACCAAAAAAAAAUGGAUAUGCCACCUCCAUUCAAACCUCCCCCACCACCAGUGAAAUACACAUCAGUGAGGAACCAUGAUGUCUAUAUGACUGAUAUUCUAGUGUGAAUGUAUCAUGUACCUGAGAACCCACAAAUCGUGGGCCACAAAAAUGCUGACAUUGAAGAUUUUUCCCUAAAGGCCUCACCCCCCCAAAAAAUGUUUCAUCAAUUACUCAUCCUCAUGAAGUUUCGUUCAACUUCAAAAUGCAAAUGAAGAUAUUUUUAAGAAAACCUAAGAGAUUUCUGACUUUCCAUUGAAAGUCCACGCAACCAGUACUUUGGUGCUUCGAAAAGUUCAUAAAGACAUUGUAAAUGUAACCCACAUUUAAUUCAAGUCUUCUGACGAGGCAGUCACUUUAUAUGAUGAACAGAUUUAAUUUAAGCUUUUAUUCACAUAUAAACAUUAAUCAGUACAUAGAGUACAUCAAAUAUAUUAUAUGUUUUUGGAAGUCUUAUGGACUUAUAAUUUUGGGGUGAAUUAACUCUGUAACAUUUUAUUUUGUUAUAUUUUUGGUUAUUGUGACAUCACCCUCAUUUUCAUGUUUUUAUGUGUUUUUAAAGUUUUUUUUACUUAUUUUCUUUGUGUCUCUGAACUGAUUGUUGAAUGGAUACAAUACGUUACUCUUAUAAAUAAUUAGUUUGUUGUUUUUUAACUGAAAACUGACUGAAUGUGACUGAAUUUUGCUUAACUGUGCUUUACUGACAUUAAAUAUAUUAUUGAAUAUCUUGAAUAUCUUGAGUUUUACUUAGCGCACAUCCUACAUCAGAACUAUGUAAAAAAAAAAAAAAAAAAUUGUGUGAGGGUGGGGUGUGUGAGGAUGCGGUCAAAAACCGGGUAAAUUCCAUAAAUAUUAAAUAUGACUAGGCCUUAGAGUUUAAUAAUACACACACACACACAUAUGUGUGUGUGCCAACACUGACCUCCUGUUGUGGCUGUGUGUUCUGUUAACAAAGCGAAGGCUAUCAGCUGAUUGUUUCAGGCCUCAUAAAACCUCAGUUUACACCUCAGAUAGUCGAGACAAACCAACUGCCAAAACCACAUCAGACAGUGACCAACAGAGACAGCAUGUAUCCUUAACCUUACAGGUCUAAUCUACAAAUACAAAUUCCAGCUCUGGUCACUAUUUAUUAUAACUUGCAGUAACAGCACAGCUGGUGGUUGUUUAUAUGGUGCUAAGAACAAAGCAGAAUUUAGUUCUGUUCAUGCUGCUUAUACAACAUCCGGCAUUUUAAAAUGCAGUUUACACCUUAAAACAAGCCUCCAUUCAAUGUGGGAGAAGAUGGAAAUGAAAGGCAUUUCUGAUUUAUGAACAGAGACAUAUGAAUAUUAGAGAGUGUAUGUGUGUUAAGACAGAGAAAACUAGAGAGAGAGAGAGAGAGAGAGAGAGAGUGAGUGAGAGUUGUACAGAGUUUUAUGCAUUGUGGUUCUUUGCUACAACAGCGACACGUUUAUGCAGAGGGACGUUUCCUGCUCUCGCUCUUGUGGUCGGAAAUGGAAAAUUCAGAAAAAAAGGAUUGAUUGUUUCAGUGUCUAGAUCAUCUGUAUCCUGCACUGUAUACAAUCAGGUCUCCAAUGUAUUAUUGUACUUCAUGAUGUAUAUAGGUCAUUUACCAAUAAUGCAUGAGAAAAAUACUCAAUUGUGUAAAGAAUGUGCAAAAUUCUAUUUCCAUUUAUCUUUGCCUCACAGAAUAAAGUACAGUGUGUGAGAGUUCUGUUAUACA